AUGGACUUUAGGCUCAUAUUGGUUUCCUUUGUUCUUAUUUUAAAAGGUGUCCAGUGUGAGGUGCAACUGCUGGAAUCUGGAGGAGGCUUAGUGCAGCCUGGAAAGUCCCUGAAACUCUCCUGUGCUGCCUCUGGAUUCACCUUCAGUAGCUACUGGAUGGACUGGGUCCACCGGGCUCCAGGGAAGGGGCUGGAGUGGGUUGCAGACAUUAAUCAAGGUGGUGGUACCACCAGGUAUAUCAGCGCUGUGAAGGGCCGGUUCACACUCUCUGGAGACAAUGCCAAGAACACUCUGUACCUGGAAAUGAGCAGUCUGAGAUCUGAGGACACAGCCAUGUAUUACUGUGCAAGAGACACAGUGAGUGAAUGUUAUUGUGAACUCAAGCCAAAAACACCGCUAUGGGGAACACCAAACCAGCAGGGGGCGCUGAAAGCACUUAGAGAUCUUGGUCACAGAAGAGCCUGCUCAGAGAAGCAUGGAAGACUGUACUUCUCUGUGUCUGCACUGUCUCUCCUUAUCACACUUAAGAAUUUUCUCUACAGGUUUAGUGUGUAG